rnacentral:rRNA from 1 species
UACGAAGGGUGCAAACGUUGCUCGGAAUUAUUGGGCGUAAAGCGCACGUAGGCGGCUUGGCAAGUCGGAUGUGAAAUCCCUCGGCUCAACCAAGGAAGUGCAUCCGAAACUGCUGAGCUUGAGUACUUAAGAGGAUCGCGGAAUUCCCGGUGUAGAGGUGAAAUUCGUAGAUAUCGGGAGGAAUACCGAUGGCGAAGGCAGGUCUCUGGGCUAUAACUGACGCUCAUGCACGAAAGCGUGGGGAGCAAACAGG